GGGUUGUGAGGUUAAGCGACUAAGCGUACACGGUGGAUGCCCUGGCAGUCAGAGGCGAUGAAGGACGUGCUAAUCUGCGAUAAGCGUCGGUAAGGUGAUAUGAACCGUUAUAACCGGCGAUUUCCGAAUGGGGAAACCCAGUGUGUUUCGACACACUAUCAUUAACUGAAUCCAUAGGUUAAUGAGGCGAACCGGGGGAACUGAAACAUCUAAGUACCCCGAGGAAAAGAAAUCAACCGAGAUUCCCCAGUAGCGGCGAGCGAACGGGGAGGAGCCCAGAGCCUGAAUCAGUGUGUGUGUUAGUGGAAGCGUCUGGAAAGGCGCGCGAUACAGGGUGACAGCCCCGUACACAAAAAUGCACAUGCUGUGAGCUCGAUGAGUAGGGCGGGACACGUGGUAUCCUGUCUGAAUAUGGGGGGACCAUCCUCCAAGGCUAAAUACUCCUGACUGACCGAUAGUGAACCAGUACCGUGAGGGAAAGGCGAAAAGAACCCCGGCGAGGGGAGUGAAAAAGAACCUGAAACCGUGUACGUACAAGCAGUGGGAGCACAGAGCAAUCUGUGUGACUGCGUACCUUUUGUAUAAUGGGUCAGCGACUUAUAUUCUGUAGCAAGGUUAACCGAAUAGGGGAGCCGAAGGGAAACCGAGUCUUAACUGGGCGUUAAGUUGCAGGGUAUAGACCCGAAACCCGGUGAUCUAGCCAUGGGCAGGUUGAAGGUUGGGUAACACUAACUGGAGGACCGAACCGACUAAUGUUGAAAAAUUAGCGGAUGACUUGUGGCUGGGGGUGAAAGGCCAAUCAAACCGGGAGAUAGCUGGUUCUCCCCGAAAGCUAUUUAGGUAGCGCCUCGUGAAUUCAUCUCCGGGGGUAGAGCACUGUUUCGGCAAGGGGGUCAUCCCGACUUACCAACCCGAUGCAAACUGCGAAUACCGGAGAAUGUUAUCACGGGAGACACACGGCGGGUGCUAACGUCCGUCGUGAAGAGGGAAACAACCCAGACCGCCAGCUAAGGUCCCAAAGUCAUGGUUAAGUGGGAAACGAUGUGGGAAGGCCCAGACAGCCAGGAUGUUGGCUUAGAAGCAGCCAUCAUUUAAAGAAAGCGUAAUAGCUCACUGGUCGAGUCGGCCUGCGCGGAAGAUGUAACGGGGCUAAACCAUGCACCGAAGCUGCGGCAGCGACGCUGAUGCGUUGUUGGGUAGGGGAGCGUUCUGUAAGCCUGUGAAGGUGUGCUGUGAGGCAUGCUGGAGGUAUCAGAAGUGCGAAUGCUGACAUAAGUAACGAUAAAGCGGGUGAAAAGCCCGCUCGCCGGAAGACCAAGGGUUCCUGUCCAACGUUAAUCGGGGCAGGGUGAGUCGACCCCUAAGGCGAGGCCGAAAGGCGUAGUCGAUGGGAAACAGGUUAAUAUUCCUGUACUUGGUGUUACUGCGAAGGGGGGACGGAGAAGGCUAUGUUGGCCGGGCGACGGUUGUCCCGGUUUAAGCGUGUAGGCUGGUUUUCCAGGCAAAUCCGGAAAACUAAGGCUGAGGCGUGAUGACGAGGCACUACGGUGCUGAAGCAACAAAUGCCCUGCUUCCAGGAAAAGCCUCUAAGCAUCAGGUAACAUCAAAUCGUACCCCAAACCGACACAGGUGGUCAGGUAGAGAAUACCAAGGCGCUUGAGAGAACUCGGGUGAAGGAACUAGGCAAAAUGGUGCCGUAACUUCGGGAGAAGGCACGCUGAUAUGUAGGUGAAGUCCCUCGCGGAUGGAGCUGAAAUCAGUCGAAGAUACCAGCUGGCUGCAACUGUUUAUUAAAAACACAGCACUGUGCAAACACGAAAGUGGACGUAUACGGUGUGACGCCUGCCCGGUGCCGGAAGGUUAAUUGAUGGGGUCAGCGCAAGCGAAGCUCUUGAUCGAAGCCCCGGUAAACGGCGGCCGUAACUAUAACGGUCCUAAGGUAGCGAAAUUCCUUGUCGGGUAAGUUCCGACCUGCACGAAUGGCGUAAUGAUGGCCAGGCUGUCUCCACCCGAGACUCAGUGAAAUUGAACUCGCUGUGAAGAUGCAGUGUACCCGCGGCAAGACGGAAAGACCCCGUGAACCUUUACUAUAGCUUGACACUGAACAUUGAGCCUUGAUGUGUAGGAUAGGUGGGAGGCUUUGAAGUGUGGACGCCAGUCUGCAUGGAGCCGACCUUGAAAUACCACCCUUUAAUGUUUGAUGUUCUAACGUUGACCCGUAAUCCGGGUUGCGGACAGUGUCUGGUGGGUAGUUUGACUGGGGCGGUCUCCUCCUAAAGAGUAACGGAGGAGCACGAAGGUUGGCUAAUCCUGGUCGGACAUCAGGAGGUUAGUGCAAUGGCAUAAGCCAGCUUGACUGCGAGCGUGACGGCGCGAGCAGGUGCGAAAGCAGGUCAUAGUGAUCCGGUGGUUCUGAAUGGAAGGGCCAUCGCUCAACGGAUAAAAGGUACUCCGGGGAUAACAGGCUGAUACCGCCCAAGAGUUCAUAUCGACGGCGGUGUUUGGCACCUCGAUGUCGGCUCAUCACAUCCUGGGGCUGAAGUAGGUCCCAAGGGUAUGGCUGUUCGCCAUUUAAAGUGGUACGCGAGCUGGGUUUAGAACGUCGUGAGACAGUUCGGUCCCUAUCUGCCGUGGGCGCUGGAGAACUGAGGGGGGCUGCUCCUAGUACGAGAGGACCGGAGUGGACGCAUCACUGGUGUUCGGGUUGUCAUGCCAAUGGCACUGCCCGGUAGCUAAAUGCGGAAGAGAUAAGUGCUGAAAGCAUCUAAGCACGAAACUUGCCCCGAGAUGAGUUCUCCCUGACUCCUUGAGAGUCCUGAAGGAACGUUGAAGACGACGACGUUGAUAGGCCGGAUGUGUAAGCGCAGCGAUGCGUUGAGCUAACCGGUACUAAUGAACCGUGAGGCUUAACCUUACAACGCCGAAGGUGUUU
rnacentral:rRNA from 1 species